GAUGAUGAACAAAACUUCCCUCCUUCUGAGGGUUGUUUAUUCCAUUGUUCCGUCAGCUGAGUUUUCUGGGUACACAGCAGCCUCUGGCCCAGCACUUAGUGCACCCUUGGUCUAUCACACAGACUUGCUCCAGUGUCCACUUGUCCAACUGCCCCAAACUCCUGGAAACCAGAAAGAACGCAGAUGUGUCUCAACUGAGUGCCUACCGUAUUUCCAUAGGAGGAACUGUCUUCACAUAAAAGCCCCUCUGCAGCUCCUUAAGGUCCUUUGACGUCGCUGUGCCUCAGCGUCUUCACUGUGAAAUGGGAAUGAGCAUCCUGGCCUCGCUGAGUUUUGGGGAGGAUGGAAUGACUUCAACCUUCGGAGCUGCAGCCUGGCAUCGGGGGGAGCAUGGGAAGUGGUGACCAUGAUUGUGAUUGGCAUCAGCAUGGAUAGGCUCCCUCCAGCCCACGCCAGAACUGGACCCAGAGUCGGUGCCCGGUGACCAUGUGUAAGUGUGGAGGAAGAAGCCAGUCAGGAUAGGAUGUUCCUGGGCUUGAAUCUUGGCUUUGGCACUGUGAAGGUCUGAGACUCAUGAUUUUGGGCAAAGCGUCUUAAUCUUUCUGAGUUUUCCCCUAAAAACAGGAAUGACUAAUACCAA